rnacentral:rRNA from 1 species
UGGGGAAUAUUGGACAAUGGGCGCAAGCCUGAUCCAGCCAUGCCGCGUGAGUGAUGAAGGCCCUAGGGUUGUAAAGCUCUUUCGGCGGGGAAGAUAAUGACGGUACCCGCAGAAGAAGCCCCGGCUAACUUCGUGCCAGCAGCCGCGGUAAUACGAAGGGGGCUAGCGUUGCUCGGAAUCACUGGGCGUAAAGCGCACGUAGGCGGAUUCUUAAGUCAGGGGUGAAAUCCCGGAGCUCAACUCCGGAACUGCCUUUGAUACUGAGAAUCUCGAGUUCGGGAGAGGUGAGUGGAACUGCGAGUGUAGAGGUGAAAUUCGUAGAUAUUCGCAAGAACACCAGUGGCGAAGGCGGCUCACUGGCCCGAUACUGACGCUGAGGUGCGAAAGCGUGGGGAGCAAACAG